GAUGAACGCUGGCGGCGUGCCUAAUACAUGCAAGUAGAACGCUGAAGGAGGAGCUUGCUCUUUCCGGAUGAGUUGCGAACGGGUGAGUAACGCGUAGGUAACCUGCCUGGUAGCGGGGGAUAACUAUUGGAAACGAUAGCUAAUACCGCAUAUCAGUAGAUAUUGCAUGAUAUUUGCUUGAAAGGGGCAAUUGCUCCACUACCAGAUGGACCUGCGUUGUAUUAGCUAGUUGGUGAGGUAACGGCUCACCAAGGCGACGAUACAUAGCCGACCUGAGAGGGUGAUCGGCCACACUGGGACUGAGACACGGCCCAGACUCCUACGGGAGGCAGCAGUAGGGAAUCUUCGGCAAUAGACGGAAGUCUGACCGAGCAACGCCGCGUGAGUGAAGAAGGUUUUCGGAUCGUAAAGCUCUGUUGUAAGAGAAGAACGAGUGUGAGAGUGGAAAGUUCACACUGUGACGGUAUCUUACCAGAAAGGGACGGCUAACUACGUG
rnacentral:rRNA from 1 species